AAUCAUCAUGCACUGUGAUUUGAUUGUGCCUUAAGAGAGAAAUUGCAAGCUUCAGCUUUGGGACUCAGGGGUGAGGAGGAAUCAAGCAAUGCCUUUGCCUACCAGGCUUGCCAGUAAAAAGGCCCCAGGUCUAAUCCCUUUCUGCUACACACCAACGAAACUUAGGAAACUCUUUGACUAUUGACUUUUUCACGUGGAAACUGAUCUGCUGAAAGUGAAAAGAAACCAUUUCUUGGAGGGGGGAAAAAAAACCUCUGUGAAACUCUGUUUUGAAAAAGUUGUCGUCCUUGGCCUGUGGAGUAGCAGCAGAAGCAAAGGCUUUUUGAUCCUCAGAUUUGUAAACUUGUAGACAUAAUAAUGCCAUUUCUCUAGUGUUAGCAGGUGUCCUGUCUGGAAGUUGCUGCCUCAGCCUCCAGCAGAGCUGGGAAUUAGAAAAUUGUCUGCCUUUCCUGAACCGUGAAGUGCUGCUCUUAAAUAAAGGCCAGGUCAGAUGUUAAAGGGACAUUCUUGUCUCCUGAAGCUGAAAUAAUCUACAGUCACAUCGAGAAAUGAAGGCAUCCUCCUCCCAAAAUGGUCAAUCUCUUUAUCUCUCAUUAUAGUCCACAGGGUCAAGAAAAAAAAAAAAACCACUUCUGAGCUGAUGUUUUGCAGUAUUUCUCCUCAGUCUGUAAUUAUCCUGGUUCUGUAUAGUUGAAUUUCAGGGAAAUAUGGUAGUUAGGAAAGUUUUAUUCUUUCCUUUUUUUUUUUUCCUCCCCCGUUGUCCUUCCUCUGAUGGAACAGUUCAGUGAGCACAGAGGAAGCUACAAAUAUAAAUUCAGUAUUUGGUCUCUGCUUCUUAAUAGCUCUCAAAUUAAAUUAAGAUUUUAAAGUUAUUAUUUAA